rnacentral:rRNA from 1 species
GAUGAACGCUGGCGGCGUGCCUAAUACAUGCAAGUCGAGCGAACAGACGAGGAGCUUGCUCCUCUGACGUUAGCGGCGGACGGGUGAGUAACACGUGGAUAACCUACCUAUAAGACUGGGAUAACUUCGGGAAACCGGAGCUAAUACCGGAUAAUAUAUUGAACCGCAUGGUUCAAUAGUGAAAGACGGUUUUGCUGUCACUUAUAGAUGGAUCCGCGCCGCAUUAGCUAGUUGGUAAGGUAACAGCUUACCAAGGCAACGAUGCGUAGCCGACCUGAGAGGGGGAUCGGCCACACUGGAACUGAGACACGGUCCAGACUCCUACGGGAGGCAGCAGUAGGGAAUCUUCCGCAAUGGGCGAAAGCCUUACGGAGCAACGCCGCGUGAGUGAUGAAGGUCUUCGGAUCGUAAAACUCUGUUAUUAGGGAAGAACAAAUGUGUAAGUAACUAUGCACGUCUUGACGGUACCUAAUCAGAAAGCCACGGCUAACUACGUG